rnacentral:rRNA from 1 species
UACGAAGGGGGCUAGCGUUGCUCGGAAUCACUGGGCGUAAAGCGCACGUAGGCGGCUUUCUAAGUCAGGGGUGAAAUCCUGGAGCUCAACUCCAGAACUGCCUUUGAUACUGGAGAGCUUGAGUCCGGAAGAGGUGAGUGGAACCCCGAGUGUAGAGGUGAAAUUCGUAGAUAUUCGGAAGAACACCAGUGGCGAAGGCGGCUCACUGGUCCGGUACUGACGCUGAGGUGCGAAAGCGUGGGGAGCAAACAGG